CUAAAUAAGGGUUUAUUAAUAUUUUAUUCAAAUAUUAUCCAAAAGCCACCAACUUUUGUGUGGAGCUAGGGAAUAGUAUUCAGAGACUCCCCAAAAAGUUUGGUGAUUUUUGGGCAUACUAAUAAAUUACUAAAAUUCCUAGAAGUUUGAUUCAUUAAAUAAAAGAGGCAAUUUUUAAAUAUAUGCAAACCAUCAGAAAAUAAAAUCUACUAUUUUUCCUGUGCUCUACUCAUUUCAUAGAACUUAUACACAAAUUUGCAUCAUUUUUGGAUUAGCACACAAUUUUCUACACAAAUUCAAAUAUCAAGCAUUUUUAACUCGAAAAGGAAAAAGAAAACAAAAAACAGCCGGG
rnacentral:lncRNA from 1 species